GGUCCAGAUUUUGUUGGAUUGCAAAUCCGAUAUUGGGUAUGUUUACCCCUGGACUU
rnacentral:tRNA from 1 species